rnacentral:rRNA from 1 species
UACAGAGGGGGCAAGCGUUAUUCGGAAUUAUUGGGCGUAAAAGGCGCGUAGGCGGCUUUGCAAGUGACGGGUGAAAGCCCUCGGCUUAACCGAGGAACUGCCUGUCAGACUGUGAGGCUUGAGACCGGGAGAGGUGAGUGGAAUUCCCAGUGUAGCGGUGAAAUGCGUAGAUAUUGGGAGGAACACCAGUGGCGAAGGCGGCUCACUGGACCGGGACUGACGCUGAGGCGCGAAAGCGUGGGGAGCAAACAGG